GACGAACGCUGGCGGCGUGCUUAACACAUGCAAGUCGAACGGAAAGGCCCUGCUUUUGUGGGGUGCUCGAGUGGCGAACGGGUGAGUAACACGUGAGUAACCUGCCCUUGACUUUGGGAUAACUUCAGGAAACUGGGGCUAAUACCGGAUAGGAGCUCCUGCUGCAUGGUGGGGGUUGGAAAGUUUCGGCGGUUGGGGAUGGACUCGCGGCUUAUCAGCUUGUUGGUGGGGUAGUGGCUUGCCAAGGCUUUGACGGGUAGCCGGCCUGAGAGGGUGACCGGCCACAUUGGGACUGAGGUACGGCCCAGACUCCUACGGGAGGCAGCAGUGGGGAAUAUUGCACAAUGGGCGGAAGCCUGAUGCAGCAACGCCGCGUGCGGGAUGACGGCCUUCGGGUUGUAAACCGCUUUCGCCUGUGACGAAGCGUGAGUGACGGUAAUGGGUAAAGAAGCACCGGCUAACUACGUG
rnacentral:rRNA from 1 species